UACGGAGGGAGCUAGCGUUGUUCGGAAUUACUGGGCGUAAAGCGCACGUAGGCGGCUUUGUAAGUUAGAGGUGAAAGCCCGGGGCUCAACCCCGGAAUUGCCUUUAAGACUGCAUCGCUUGAAUCCAGGAGAGGUGAGUGGAAUUCCGAGUGUAGAGGUGAAAUUCGUAGAUAUUCGCAAGAACACCAGUGGCGAAGGCGGCCGACUGGUCCGGUUCUGACGCUGAGGCGCGAAAGCGUGGGGAGCAAACAGG
rnacentral:rRNA from 1 species